GUGAAUCAUCAAAUUUUUGAACGCAAAUUGCACUCUCUUCGGAGAGUAUGCCUGUUUGAGGGUCAGCCUAAAAAAAAUCGACAUAGUUGCUGUUACGCGGUAACAUUCGUCGGAAAUUGGGUCAUCUUAAAUCUUUUGGUUUAAGCGGCUUAAAAUUUUCUUUACGAUUCCAAUAACGUUUCUUCGAUUUUAUUUUCUUAUACGUUUAAGGUAUCUAUCUUUAUUAUCCGUGGCCCUUUCAUCUGAUCUCGUCCCUAAA
rnacentral:misc_RNA from 1 species